CAGAGUGUUGGUUCAGGGUCAUGCAGCUCAAGAGCAGCUAAGAUGGAAUUUGAACCCAGGUCUUCUGGCAUGAGACUUUAAAGCUGUAAUCACUCUAGUACUUUCCUCUUGAAUACACUCUUGAGGAAGCCAAACAUGAUCUGUGGGGAGAUCAUAUUUGGAUGAGCAAAGGGACUGAGUGUUUUAGAAUGAGGUGACUCUUUGAUCUCUUAAUUGCCUCUCAGACCUCACUACCUUACACCAGCAAGUAAGGUUCUCUCCAAAAGGAAGCAAAUGUCUUAAUAAUUAGACAAAAAUACUUGCCUCAGGCUGAUCUGAGCAUUGAGCUGGUCUUGAUUAGCAAAGCAAAAUAAAUAGCUUAAGCGAUUUUUUUUUCUUGGACAACUGAAGUUAAAACACAAAGUUUGUGGCAAUGACCUGGGGAACUGGGACAAAAGCUUGAGGAAGUGUCCACCUCAUGGGGCUGCAUAUAAAUGUAUAUACAGCAUUUUGUAAAUCUGAAAACACUACAUAGAUGUAGACUUUUAUUAUUUUGGAGGAGGGAACUUGGGGGGGUGAAGGGAAAGGGUUGAAUUACCUGGAAAAUUGCUUUAAAUUUUUACUUCCUUUUGCUAUAGAACCGGCCAAGGAGAGUUAAUGAUGUUUGUUUUGAUGCCAAAUCAUUGGGGCUGGGUUUGCCACUGCUGAAUGGAACAAGCUGAGGUUGGAUUUGUUCUGAUAAGGAACCGAGG